AUAAUCGGAUUCACAUCAAUCCACAUGUAUUGGUGUGGGUUGAAGUGGAACUCGAACUAAAUUCCACCCUAAUCCACUCCAACACAUGUGGAUUGAGGUGAAUCCAACA
rfam:Sorghum bicolor cultivar BTx623 chromosome 2, whole genome shotgun sequence.